rnacentral:rRNA from 1 species
AUUGAACGCUGGCGGCAUGCCUUACACAUGCAAGUCGAACGGCAGCACGGGUGCUUGCACCUGGUGGCGAGUGGCGAACGGGUGAGUAAUAUAUCGGAACGUACCUUAUCGUGGGGGAUAACGCAGCGAAAGCUGCGCUAAUACCGCAUACGCCCUGAGGGGGAAAGCGGGGGACCGUAAGGCCUCGCGCGAUUGGAGCGGCCGAUAUCAGAUUAGCUAGUUGGUGAGGUAAAGGCUCACCAAGGCGACGAUCUGUAGCUGGUCUGAGAGGACGACCAGCCACACUGGAACUGAGACACGGUCCAGACUCCUACGGGAGGCAGCAGUGGGGAAUUUUGGACAAUGGGCGCAAGCCUGAUCCAGCAAUGCCGCGUGCAGGAUGAAGGCCUUCGGGUUGUAAACUGCUUUUGUACGGAGCGAAAAGGCUUCUCCUAAUACGAGGGGCUCAUGACGGUACCGUAAGAAUAAGCACCGGCUAACUACGUG